GAUGAAGAACGAAGCGAAAUGCGAUAAGUAGUGUGAAUUGCAGAAUUCAGUGAAUCAUCGAAUCUUUGAACGCACAUUGCGCCCCUUGGUAUUCCAUGGGGCAUGCCUGUUCGAGCGUCAUUUGUACCCUCAAGCUUUGCUUGGUGUUGGGUGUUUGUCCCGCGCUCUUUUGCGCAAGACUCGCCUUAAAUCAAUUGGCAGCCGGCAUGUUAGCCUGGAGCGCAGCACAUUUUGCGCGCCUUGCUUGCUUGUGUUGGCCCCCAUCAAGUCCAUAUAUUUGCUCUUGACCUCGGAUCAGGUAGGGAUACCCGCUGAACUUAAGCAUAUCAAUAAGCGGAGGA
rnacentral:misc_RNA from 1 species